AUUGAACGCUGGCGGCAGGCCUAACACAUGCAAGUCGAACGGUAACAGGAAGCAGCUUGCUGCUUUGCUGACGAGUGGCGGACGGGUGAGUAAUGUCUGGGAAACUGCCCGAUGGAGGGGGAUAACUACUGGAAACGGUAGCUAAUACCGGAUAACGUCGCAAGACCAAAGAGGGGGACCUUAGGGCCUCUUGCCAUCGGAUGUGCCCAGAUGGGAUUAGCUAGUAGGUGGGGUAACGGCUCACCUAGGCGACGAUCCCUAGCUGGUCUGAGAGGAUGACCAGCCACACUGGAACUGAGACACGGUCCAGACUCCUACGGGAGGCAGCAGUGGGGAAUAUUGCACAAUGGGCGCAAGCCUGAUGCAGCCAUGCCGCGUGUAUGAAGAAGGCCUUCGGGUUGUAAAGUACUUUCAGCGGGGAGGAAGGGAGUAAAGUUAAUACCUUUGCUCAUUGACGUUACCCGCAGAAGAAGCACCGGCUAACUCCGUG
rnacentral:rRNA from 1 species